ncrna:Streptococcus agalactiae BST178 Bacilli-1 RNA
ACCCGUAGUGAUAUGGGCGUAUGACUGAAAGCACAUCAUACGGCUUGGCAGAGCUUAAGAACUGUU